GGACAGCACUGGGUUUGACUGCACACAUAUUGUUACAUGUGACGAGCAAAAUGACCCAUUGAGCUUCACUGAUGACGCAAGUUCAGUAGGGACACCUGGGCCAUCCGUUCAGUCAUCCAGGCUGUUGUCUGUAGGCACUUCCCCG